CCUCGCCCGCCUCCUCCUCGCCGCGCCGUCGCCCGCCUCCUCCUCCACGCACCCAACAGAUUAUGGAGACACUCUUGCACAAAGUGGCUGCCAUGGCACAGAGUUGGACUGUCUUAUGCAAGAUAGAGUAUCAACCAAUUUUGAAGGAGAAAGUGGCGAAGAUUCAAGGGGAGAGCUUCUAUGGUGAUGUGGCCUCCGAGCUAUUUCUAGCCUGAGAUCUUCGCUGGAAGCAGGAUCUCUCCCUGGAGUUUUCUGCGUUUUCUGGUGGUCCUUUCCAAUCAGACAGCCUUGUUUGUUUGUAGAUGGUCAAGAAAAAGUCAAGCAGUUAGGUGAAAAGUUCCCGAUAAUCAAGGGUCUUCUUGGUAUACUUUGAUCCCUUUGGACAUUGCAAUUUUUUGUUAUGCUAUGACUAUGAUGCAAUUGUAUUACUCGCUACUGUGUAAUAUUACUUUCCCAAUGGGCUCCUUGCAGCCACUGUGUUACUGCAUCCAUAUAAUUAUGCAUAUCCAUCAUUGUAGGCACCAUUAAGUGGAAGAAAUCGAAGGACACUAUAAUUCUUUUAGCA